UUAUUUACCUGGCAGUGGGAAUAUCACAAUCAAGAAGGUGGUUUUCCCAGAGUGAGGAUCUUCCAUUACACUUAGACUGGAUUGACCUUUGUGAUUUCCCCAAAUGUGGGAAACUCAACUGCAUAAUUUAUGAUAGUGCGGCACAAUGUUCAUGCUAUUCCCUG